UACGUAGGGGGCAAGCGUUGUCCGGAUUCAUUGGGCGUAAAGAGCGUGUAGGCGGCCCGGUAAGUCCGCUGUAAAAGUCAAAGGCUCAACCUUUGAAUGUCAGUGGAUACUGCCGGGCUAGAGUCCGGAAGAGGCGAGUGGAACUCCUGGUGUAGCGGUGGAAUGCGCAGAUAUCAGGAAGAACACCUAUGGCGAAGGCAGCUCUCUGGGACGGUACUGACGCUGAGACGCGAAAGCGUGGGGAGCGAACAGG
rnacentral:rRNA from 1 species